rnacentral:siRNA from 1 species
UUAAGAAGUGGACAGGUGUUGUGU